rnacentral:miRNA from 1 species
AACACUACCUUGCGAACACUAGAU